rnacentral:misc_RNA from 1 species
AACGCACCUUGCACUCUUUGGUAUUCCGAAGAGUAUGUCUGUUUGAGUGUCAUGAAACUCUCAACCCCCUUAUUUUGUAAUGAUAUAAGUGUGGGCUUGGUUCAUGGUUGUUGAAGGCUUAACAGUCUUCUCAACUGAAAUACACGAGCUACCUAUUUUAUAAUAGACGGUUUGACUCGGCGUAAUAACUAUUUCGCUGAGGACGUCCCUUUAUAAUAGUAAAUGGUGCUUCUAAUUUAACAUCAAUUUAAGAUUUAGACCUCAAAUCAGUCAGGACUACCCGCUGAACUUAA